rnacentral:rRNA from 1 species
UGCCAGCCGCCGCGGUAAUACGGAGGGUGCAAGCGUUGUUCGGAAUUAUUGGGCGUAAAGGGCGCGUAGGCGGUCAUUUAAGUCUUUGGUGUAAGUGCAAGGCUCAACCUUGUGAUGCUAAGGAAACUGGAUGACUUGAGUGUGAUAGAGGUAGCUGGAAUUUGUGGUGUAGCGGUGAAAUGCAUAGAUACCACGAGGAACACCAAUUGCGAAGGCAGGCUACUGGGUCUAUAUUGACACUGAUGUACGAAAGUGUGGGUAGCGAACAGGAUUAGAUA